rnacentral:rRNA from 1 species
AUUGAACGCUGGCGGCAUGCCUUACACAUGCAAGUCGAACGGCAGCACGGGAGCAAUCCUGGUGGCGAGUGGCGAACGGGUGAGUAAUAUAACGGAACGUGCCCAGUAGUGGGGGAUAACUGCUCGAAAGAGCAGCUAAUACCGCAUACGACCUGAGGUUGAAAGGGGGGGAUCGCAAGACCUCUGGCCAUUCGAGCGCGCUAUAUCAGAUUAGCUAGUUGGUGGGGUAAAGGCCUACCAAGGCAACGAUCUGUAGUUGGGCUGAGAGGACGACCAGCCACACUGGGAGUGAGACACGGCCCAGACUCCUACGGGAGGCAGCAGUGGGGAAUUUUGGACAAUGGGCGCAAGCCUGAUCCAGCAAUGCCGCGUGCAGGAAGAAGGCCUUCGGGUUGUAAACUGCUUUUGUCAGGGAAGAAAUCCUCUAGGUUAAUACCCUUGGGGGGAUGACGGUACCUGAAGAAUAAGCACCGGCUAACUACGUGCCAGCAGCCGCUGUAAGAC